CCUACGGGCGGCAGCAGUGAGGAAUAUUGGUCAAUGGACGAGAGUCUGAACCAGCCAAGUAGCGUGAAGGAUGACUGCCCUAUGGGUUGUAAACUUCUUUUAUAUGGGAAUAAAAUGUUCCACGUGUGGGAUUUUGUAUGUACCAUAUGAAUAAGGAUCGGCUAACUCCGUGCCAGCAGCCGCGGUAAUACGGAGGAUCCGAGCGUUAUCCGGAUUUAUUGGGUUUAAAGGGAGCGUAGGUGGAUUGUUAAGUCAGUUGUGAAAGUUUGCGGCUCAACCGUAAAAUUGCAGUUGAAACUGGCAGUCUUGAGUACAGUAGAGGUGGGCGGAAUUCGUGGUGUAGCGGUGAAAUGCUUAGAUAUCACGAAGAACUCCGAUUGCGAAGGCAGUUCACUGGACUGCAACUGACACUGAGGUUCGAAAGUGUGGGUAUCAAACAGGAUUAGAUACCCCAGUAGUC
rnacentral:rRNA from 1 species